rnacentral:rRNA from 1 species
UGGCUCAGGACGAACGCUGGCGGCGUGCCUAAUACAUGCAAGUCGAACGGUCUUUCUAUGGAAGCUUGCUUCCACUGAGAAGAUAGUGGCGAACGGGUGAGUAACACGUGGGUAACCUGCCCAUAAGAGGGGGAUAACAUCCGGAAACGGGUGCUAAUACCGCAUAGUUUUCUUGAUCGCAUGAUUGAGAAAGGAAAGACGGCCUUUGUGCUGUCGCUUAUGGAUGGACCCGCGGCGUAUUAGUUAGUUGGUGAGGUAACGGCUCACCAAGACGAUGAUACGUAGCCGACCUGAGAGGGUGAUCGGCCACAUUGGGACUGAGACACGGCCCAAACUCCUACGGGAGGCAGCAGUAGGGAAUCUUCCGCAAUGGACGAAAGUCUGACGGAGCAACGCCGCGUGAGUGAAGAAAGGUUUUCGGAUCGUAAAACUCUGUUGUCAGAGAAGAACAAGUUGGAGAGUAACUGCUCCAGCCUUGACGGUAUCUGACCAGAAAGCCACGGCUAACUACGUGCCAGCCGCAGC